UCCGGUUGAUCCUGCCGGAGGCCACUGCUAUGGGGGUCCGACUAAGCCAUGCGAGUCAUGGGGCGCCUUGCGCGCACCGGCGGACGGCUCAGUAACACGUCGGUAACCUACCCUCGGGAGGGGGAUAACCCCGGGAAACUGGGGCUAAUCCCCCGUAGGCCUGAGGUACUGGAAGGUCCUCAGGCCGAAAGGGUCUUUGACCGCCCGAGGAUGGGCCGGCGGCCGAUUAGGUAGUUGGUGGGGUAACGGCCCACCAAGCCGAAGAUCGGUACGGGCCAUGAGAGUGGGAGCCCGGAGAUGGACACUGAGACACGGGUCCAGGCCCUACGGGGCGCAGCAGGCGCGAAACCUCCGCAAUGCUCGAAAGAGCGACGGGGGGACCCCCAGUGCCGUGGCAUCGCCACGGCUUUUCCGGAGUGUAAAGAGCUCCGGGAAUAAGGGCUGGGCAAGGCCGGUGGCAGCCGCCGCGGUAAUACCGGCGGCCCGAGUGGUGGCCGCUAUUAUUGGGCCUAAAGCGUCCGUAGCCGGGCCAGUAAGUCCCUGGCGAAAUCCCACGGCUCAACCGUGGGGCUUGCUGGGGAUACUGCUGGCCUUGGGA
rnacentral:rRNA from 1 species